GCAAAACGCGAAGAACCUUACCAAGGCUUGACAUAUACGAGAACGCUCUAGAAAUAGAGAACUCUUUGGACACUCGUAUACAGGUGGUGCAUGGUUGUCGUCAGCUCGUGUCGUGAGAUGUUGGGUUAAGUCCCGCAACGAGCGCAACCCUCGUUCUAUGUUGCCAGCGCGUUAUGGCGGGAACUCAUAGGAGACUGCCGGGGUCAACUCGGAGGAAGGUGGGGAUGACGUCAAAUCAUCAUGCCCCUUAUGUCUUGGGCUUCACGCAUGCUACAAUGGCCGGUACAAAGGGCUGCAAUACCGCAAGGUGGAGCGAAUCCCAAAAAGCCGGUCUCAGUUCGGAUUGAGGUCUGCAACUUGACCUCAUGAAGUCGGAGUCGCUAGUAAUCGCAGAUCAGCAACGCUGCGGUGAAUACGUUCCCGGGUCUUGUACACACCG
rnacentral:rRNA from 1 species